rnacentral:SRP_RNA from 1 species
GCUGAGCAUGGUGGCACACGUUCACAGAAUCAGCUACUCGGGAGGCAGAUGUGGAAGGAUUGCUUGAGCCCCAAAGUUCUGGGCUGUAGUGAGUUAUGCUGAUUGAGUAUUCACAGAAAAUUUGGCAUCAGUAUGAUGACCUCUCGGGAACAAGGAUCCCCAGGUUUCUUAAGGAAGGGUGAACUGGUCCAGGUUGGAAACAAAGUAGGCCAAAACUCCUUUGCGGAUCAAUACUGGAAUGGCACCUGUGAAUAGCCACUGCACUCCUGCCUAGGCAAUAUAGCGAGACACCUAUCUCU